rnacentral:rRNA from 1 species
CUACGGGAGGCAGCAGUGGGGAAUAUUGGACAAUGGGGGCAACCCUGAUCCAGCCAUGCCGCGUGAGUGAUGAAGGCCUUCGGGUUGUAAAGCUCUUUUGGCGGGGACGAUGAUGACGGUACCCGCAGAAUAAGCCCCGGCUAACUUCGUGCCAGCAGCCGCGGUAAGACGAAGGGGGCUAGCGUUGUUCGGAAUUACUGGGCGUAAAGCGCGUGUAGGCGGUUAUCCAAGUCGGGUGUGAAAGCCUUGAGCUUAACUCAAGAAAUGCAUUCGGUACUGGGUGACUAGAGGACCGGAGAGGAUAGUGGAAUUCCCAGUGUAGUGGUGAAAUACGUAGAGAUUGGGAAGAACACCAGUGGCGAAGGCGGCUAUCUGGACGGUUUCUGACGCUAAGACGCGAAAGCGUGGGGAGCAAACAGGAUUAGAUACCCCAGUAGUCA